rnacentral:rRNA from 1 species
AUACGUAGGGUGCGAGCGUUGUCCGGAAUUACUGGGCGUAAAGAGCUCGUAGGUGGUUUGUCGCGUCGUCUGUGAAAUUCUGGGGCUUAACUCCGGGCGUGUAGGCGAUACGGGCAUAACUUGAGUACUGUAGGGGAGACUGGAAUUCCUGGUGUAGCGGUGAAAUGCGCAGAUAUCAGGAGGAACACCGGUGGAGAAGGCGUGUCUCUGGGCAGUAACUGACGCUGAGGAGCGAAAGCAUGGGUAGCGAACAGGAUUAGAUACCCUGGUAGUCCAUGCCGUAAACGGUGGGCGCUAGGUGUAGGGGUAUUCCUCUACUUCUGUGCCGUAGCUAACGCAUUAAGCGCCCCGCCUGGGGAGUACGGCCGCAAGGCUAAAACUCAAAUGAAUUGACGGGG